rnacentral:rRNA from 1 species
GAGGAAUAUUGGUCAAUGAGCGAAAGCUUGAACCAGCCAAGUCGCGUGAAGGAUGAAUGCCCUACGGGUUGUAAACUUCUUUUUCAAGGGAAUAAAGUGGGCCACGCGUGGCCUUUUGCAUGUACCUUGCGAAUAAGGAUCGGCUAACUCCGUGCCAGCAGCCGCGGUAAUACGGAGGAUCCGAGCGUUAUCCGGAUUUAUUGGGUUUAAAGGGUGCGCAGGCGGGGGAUUAAGUCGGUGGUGAAAUUUUGCGGCUCAACCGUAAGAGUGCCAUUGAUACUGGUUCCCUUGAGUGUAGAUGAAGUAGGCGGAAUUUGUGGUGUAGCGGUGAAAUGCAUAGAUAUCACGAGGAACUCCGAUUGCGCAGGCAGCUUACUAGGCUACUACUGACGCUCAUGCACGAAGGCGUGGGGAUCAAAC